UGGGGAAUCUUGGACAAUGGGGGCAACCCUGAUCCAGCCAUGCCGCGUGAGUGAUGAAGGCCUUAGGGUCGUAAAGCUCUUUCGCCUGUGAAGAUAAUGACGGUAGCAGGUAAAGAAACCCCGGCUAACUCCGUGCCAGCAGCCGCGGUAAUACGGAGGGGGUUAGCGUUGUUCGGAAUUACUGGGCGUAAAGCGCACGUAGGCGGACCAGAAAGUUGGGGGUGAAAUCCCGGGGCUCAACCCCGGAACUGCCUCCAAAACUAUUGGUCUAGAGUUCGAGAGAGGUGAGUGGAAUUCCAAGUGUAGAGGUGAAAUUCGUAGAUAUUUGGAGGAACACCAGUGGCGAAGGCGGCUCACUGGCUCGAUACUGACGCUGAGGUGCGAAAGUGUGGGGAGCAAACAGGAUUAGAUACCCUGGUAGUCCACACCGUAAAACGAUGAAUGCCAGUCGUCGGGUAGCAUGCUAUUCGGUGACACACCUAACGGAUUAAGCAUUCCGCCUGGGGAGUACGGUCGCAAGAUUAAAACUCAAAUGAAUUG
rnacentral:rRNA from 1 species